AUCCCCUGAUGAGGGCAUUUAUGAAGUAACUCCUUGAAUUGUUCUCAUGCCUCAUAUAAGGAUUCAUCUUCCAUCUGCUAGAAAGUGAUGAUCUCAUUCUGUAACUU
rfam:Gossypium raimondii Chr13_contig_500, whole genome shotgun sequence.